rnacentral:lncRNA from 1 species
CCUUUUAUUAGUUGUAUAGAUUACUAGUGAAGGACCCGUGCGUUGCUGCUGGAUGAUUUCGUAGAAAUAAAUAUAUAAAUAAAAUAAAAAAUAGUAAAAAAAAAGUCAAGAAAUUAUAUAAAAAAAUAAAUGAAAAAUAAGUAACUAUUACUGUAAUAAAAAUAUAAAAAUAAAUUAUAAGAAGGAUUAAAAAAAAUAAAGGCAAAAAAUUAUACGAAUAAAAAUUAUAUUUAUAACAACAUUAAACGUUGAGAACUAAAACAAUAUACCUUAUAUUUCAAGUUUGAAAUUACAACUAAUUAAAGUUUGAGGAUCAAAUUAAUUAAAGUGUCACAUGUCUCAUAGUUUAAAUCAUAACACAAUAAAAUUUUAAGGACUAAAAGUGUAACGCGCCUGUGCGCGCCAUGCGCCUGCCCGGAUUGGAAGUUGAAUCCAGAAGGAAUAAAUAUUUAUUCGGAUUAAAUUUUUUUAAAAAUUUUUUAAUUAAAAUAUGAGUUUAAAUUUAAAAAUUAAAUUUAUAAUAUUAAAUUUUAAUUUGAAUUUGAAUUAAAAAUUAAUGAAUUCAAUAAAUCAAAAAUUUGAAUUAAAAUUAUAAUAUUCAAAUUCAAACUUAAAAUUAAAUAAAAUUUAUGAAUUCAAAUUAAAAUUUAAAUUAUAAUUUUAAGUUUGAAUUUGAAUAAAUCGAAAUUUAUUUUAUAUUUUUAAUUAUCCACUCACCUUCAUAGUUUAACUUUUUCUAAAAAAAUAGAUUUAAAAUUUUGACAUUAUUUUAAAAUUUUGAUGUAAAUUUUUAAUAUUUAAUUUUUAAUCUGAAUUUAAAUUAAUAUAUAAAAUUAAAAUUUAUAUUUAAUACAAAUAGUCUAAACUAUAUAUUUUAAAUUUUUAUAAUAAUAAAUAAAAAUUUAGAUUGAGUUGAAAAAAAUUAUAAAUCUUCUUCUUUAUUAUAUAUGAAGAGAGAAAAAAAUUAAAGAGAGAAGAAAAAAAAUUGAAGAGAGAGGAUAAAAAAUUGAAGAUAGAGGGAAAAAAAUUGAAGAGAGAAGGAUAAAAAAAAUUGAAGAGACUGGGAAAAAAUACAAAAAAUUGAAGAGAGAGGAAAAAAAAAUGUUUGAAGAGAGGGAUAAAAAAAAAAUGAAGAGAGGGAGAAAAAAUAAAAGAAAAUUGAAGAGAGAGGAAAAAAAAAGGAAGAGAGAGGAAAAAAGAAAAAUACAACU